AUGAACGCUGGCGGGCGUGCUUAACACAUGCAAGUCGAACGAGGGGCGGAGGGGGGCAACUCCCUCCAGUCGAAGUGGGCGGACGGGUGAGUAACACGUGGGUAACCUGCCCGGAAGUGGGGAAAUACCUCGGGGAAACUCGAGCUAAUAACCGCAUGACAUCUUCGGGAACGAAAGUCCUGACGAUCAAAGGCGGGGGGUCGCAAGAUCUCGCGCUACCGGAUGGGCCCGCGCCCCGAUUUAGCUAGUUGGCGAGGGGGUAACGGCUCACCAAGGCUUCGAUCGGUAACCGGCCCUGAGAGGGCCGAUCGGUCACAACCGGAAACUGAGACACGGUCCGGACUCCUACGGGAAGCAGCAGUGGGGAAUCUUGCGCAAUGGGCGGAAAGCCUGACGCAGCAACGCCGCGUGGGAGGAUGGAAGGCCCUUGGGUUGUAAAACUCCUGUCGGCUGGGAAGAACUCAUAACGGUGCUAAUACCACCGUAUGUUGACUGUACCAGCAAAGGGAAGCCCCGGGCUAACUCUGUGCCAGCAGCCGCGGUAAUACAGGGGGGGCCAGCGUUAUUCGGAAAUUAUUGGGCGUAAAAGGGGCGGCGUAGGCGGCCUUUGCGUGUCUUCCGUGAAAUCCCUCGGCUUAACUGAGGACGUUGCGGAAAGAAAACUUGCGAAGGCUCGAGUCCGGGAGAGGAGGGUGGAAUUCCCAGUGUAGCGGUGAAAUGGCGUAGAUAUUGGGAGGAACAACCGGUGGCGGAAGGCGGCCCCUCUGGACCGGGUAACUGACGCUGAUGGCGCGAAAGCGUGGGGAGGCAAAACGGGAAUUAGAUACCCCGGUAGUCCACGCCCGGUAAAACGAUGGGCACUUGGUUGUCGCGGGGUAUCGACCCCUGCGGUGCCGAAAGGCUAAACGCCAUUAAAGUGGCCCCGCCUGGGGAGUGCGGUCGCAAGGCUGAAAACUCAAAAGGAAUUUGACGGGGGCCCGCACAAGCGGUGGAGCAUGUGGUUUCAAUUCGAAGCAACGCGAAAGAAACCUUACCUGGGUUUUGAAGAUCAGUGGAUCGGGGGGCGAAAUCUCCCUUCCCCCGCAAGGGGGCCGCUGGUUAGGUUGCUGCAUGGCUGUCGUCAGCUCGUGUCGUGAGAUGUUGGGUUAAGUCCCGCAACGAGCGCAAACCCCCUGCUGCUAGUUGCCAACGGUUUCGGGCCGGGCACUCUAGUGGGAACUGCCGGUGAUAAACCGGAGGAAAGGUGGGGAUGGACGUCAAGUCCUCAUGGGCCUUUAUGUCCAGGGCUACACACGUGCUACAAUGGCCGGUACAAAACCGCUGCAAGAGCGCCAAGCUGGAGCAAAUCGGACAAAAGCCGGUCUCAGUUCGGAUUGGGGUCUGCAAACUCGACCCCAUGAAGGCUGGAAUCGCUAGUAAUCGCGGAUCAGGCACGCCGCGGUGAAUACGUUCCCGGGCCUUGUACACACCCGCCCGUUCACAUCACGAAAAGUGGGUUGUACUAGAAGCGCCAGCGCUAACCCGAGCAAUCGGGGGGCAUGGUUGUAUAACGGUAUGAUCCAUGAAUUGGGGG
rnacentral:rRNA from 1 species